rnacentral:tRNA from 1 species
GGCCAGUUAGCUCAGUCAGUUGAGCGUGGUGCUGACAAUGCCAAGGUCACGAGUUCGAUUCCCGUUCGGUCCC